GGGUUUUCAGCUUUUGUUUUUUUGAGAAGAUUCUCAGCUGGUUUUGGCUGGACCCAAAUCAUACGUGUUAUACUUAACUUGUGUGAGGCUUUCCUUAGGUAAACCACUAAUACAGAUCUAGUCGUAUAUUUCCUUAUUCUUGGUCUAAUCAUGAUCUUGGGUGAUACGAGUUGUAAACAGACAAGAAUGAACACCAUUGUAAAGAGGUAUCAAGAGCUCAAUGAGUUGUUCAAGUGGAUUACUCGGAUAACCAGCUCCGGUGAGUAUAGUUUUCUUUCAUCUUGCUUACAAACUAAUUUGAUUCGAAUAACAAGGAUCGAGGUUCGUAUAAUCUAAGUUUAGAUACCUUUGUACAAUUAAAUGCUAGAUUAUCCACAGGCCCCUAGGAAUGCGCAGCCACCCAAAUCGACUUCCGU
rnacentral:lncRNA from 1 species